GUGCUCGUUCCGGCAGCACAUAUACUAAAAUUGGAACGAUACUGAGAAGAUUAGCAUGACCCCCGCGCAAGGACGACACUCAAAUUCGUGAUGCAUUCCAUAUUUUU